GAGCUUGCUCCUUUGACGUUAGCGGCGGACGGGUGAGUAACACGUGGGCAACCUACCUUAUAGUUUGGGAUAACUCCGGGAAACCGGGGCUAAUACCGAAUAAUCUGUUUCACCUCAUGGUGAAAUAUUGAAAGACGGUUUCGGCUGUCGCUAUAGGAUGGGCCCGCGGCGCAUUAUCUAGUUGGUGAGGUAACGGCUCACCAAGGCGACGAUGCGUAGCCGACCUGAGAGGGUGAUCGGCCACACUGGGACUGAGACACGGCCCAGACUCCUACGGGAGGCAGCAGUAGGGAAUCUUCCACAAUGGGCGAAAGCCUGAUGGAGCAACGCCGCGUGAGUGAAAAAGGAUUUCGGUUCGUAAAACUCUGUUGUAAGGGAAAAACAAGUACAGUAGUAACUGGCUGUACCUUGACGGUACCUUAUUAAAAAGCCACGGCUAACUACGUGCCAGCAGCCGCGGUAAAACGUAGGUGGCAAGCGUUGUCCGGAAUUAUUGGGCGUAAAGCGCGCGCAGGUGGUUUCCUUA
rnacentral:rRNA from 1 species